rnacentral:rRNA from 1 species
GACGAACGCUGGCGGCGUGCUUAACACAUGCAAGUCGAACGGAAAGGCCCUGCUUUUGUGGGGUGCUCGAGUGGCGAACGGGUGAGUAACACGUGAGUAACCUGCCCUUGACUUUGGGAUAACUUCAGGAAACUGGGGCUAAUACCGGAUAGGAGCUCCUGCUGCAUGGUGGGGGUUGGAAAGUUUCGGCGGUUGGGGAUGGACUCGCGGCUUAUCAGCUUGUUGGUGGGGUAGUGGCUUACCAAGGCUUUGACGGGUAGCCGGCCUGAGAGGGUGACCGGCCACAUUGGGACUGAGAUACGGCCCAGACUCCUACGUGAGGCAGCAGUGGGGAAUAUUGCACAAUGGGCGGAAGCCUGAUGCAGCGACGCCGCGUGCGGGAUGACGGCCUUCGGGUUGUAAACCGCUUUCGCCUGAGACGAAGCGUGAGUGACGGUAAUGGGUAAAGAAGCACCGGCUAACUACGUG